CAGUCGCCGCGGUAAUACGAGGGGGGCAAGCGUUGUUCGGAUUUAUUGGGCGUAAAGCGUGCGUAGGCGGUGAGUUAAGUCUGCUGUGAAAUCCCCGGGCUCAACCUGGGAAUGGCAGUGGAUACUGGCUCGCUAGAGUGUGUCAGAGGAUGGUGGAAUUCCCGGUGUAGCGGUGAAAUGCGUAGAGAUCGGGAGGGACAUCAGUGGCGAAGGCGGCCAUCUGGGACAACACUGACGCUGAGGCACGAAAGCGUGGGGAGCAAACAGGAUUAGAUACCCGCGUAGUCCCUGUCUCUUAUAC
rnacentral:rRNA from 1 species